CCUACGGGUAGCAGCAGUGAGGAAUAUUGGUCAAUGGGCGGAAGCCUGAACCAGCCAAGUAGCAUGCAGGAUGACGGCCCUACGGGUUGUAAACUGCUUUUAUUCGGGAAUAACGCGCCUUACGUGUAGGGCUUUGCAUGUACCGUCUGAAUAAGGACAGGCUAAUUCCGUGCCAGCAGCCGCGGUAAUACGGAAGGUCCGGGCGUUAUCCGGAGUUAUUGGGGUUAAGGGGAGCGUAGGCCGCAUGUCAAGCGUGCUGUGAAAUGUGCGGGCUCAACCCGGGCCUUGCAGCGCGAACUGGCGUGCUUGAGUCCGCGGAGAGAAGGCGGAAUUCGUCGUGUAGCGGUGAAAUGCUUAGAUAUGACGAAGAACCCCGAGUGCGAAGGCAGCUUGCUGCAGCGGAACUGACGCUGAUGCUCGAAAGCGCGGGUAUCGAACAGGAUUAGAUACCCCUGUAGUC
rnacentral:rRNA from 1 species